AUACAAGCCUAGGAUUGGAUUGGCUUUUUAGCUGCUGUGGUAGUGUGUGGUCUAUUACUAUCUCUGCAAGUGGAAGUCACUAUCAGGAUAUAACCCACUGAAAGAUAUUCAUAACCCAGAACAAUGCUAGGUCUAUGCCAUCAUUGAGGAUGCAAACAGUUGGCAAGUCUGCCCACAUUGUUGGUUCUACUGCUACAUUUUAGAAAAAAGAAAGCAACUUGUGUUAAACCUCUCAUAGAGUAAUUCAGUGUAAUAGUGCCCAUAAUAUCUCUGUCCACAAAUCGGAUAGAAAUUUCAAAUUCCAUCUCAGUUGUAGAAAUUGUGCUUUCUUUCAGUCCUAAAAUAGCUGCUAAAUGGGCCAGUUCACUGGGUGAAUCCAUUUAUAUAUUAUGAGAAAUUAAUUGUGCUUUUCCUUCCUGUUCAUAACAUGGCAAAUGUCAUUGUGUAAUGUCACUAUGUUUUGGAUUAGAUAUCCCUUCGUUGCAUGAGUUUUCAUUUAAACUGGUAUUUGAUGCUUAAUUCUGAGAAAUGAUCUUUUUAUGGGACAGUUGCAGCAUUUUUAUAAUUAUGCUUCUAAGAUGAUGAUGAUAAUAAUGGAGCCUCCAGUGGCCUAGGGGAUAAAAGCCUCGUGAUUUGAAGUUUGGGUUGCUGACCUGAAAGCUGCCAGGUUCGAAUCCCAUCCAGGGAGAGUGUGGAUGAGCUCUCUCUAUCAGCUCCAGCUCCAUGCGGGGACAUGAGAGAAGCCUCCCACAAGGAUGGUAAAACAUCAAAACAUCCAGGUUUCCCUGGGCAACGUCCUUGCAGACGGCCAAUUCUCUCACUCCAGAAGCAACUCCGAUUGCUCCUGACACGAAUUUUUUUAUAUAAUAAUAAUAAUAAUAAUAAUAAUACUUUAUUUAUCUUCCACCCUAUCUCCCCAAGGGGACUCAAGGCAGAUCACAGUACACAUAUGCGGCAAACAUUGAAUGCUGUUUGGAGACAGGACAGAACAGAAGAAGACAGACAGAAGGAGUAAUUGGAAACAGCUUCAGUUUUUUUUUCCUUUCCUUGCUUCUGCAACAUGCUUCACGUGAAGUUGAGAAGAUAAGCUUCACCCAAGACCUAAGAAGAAAGGAGGACAUGUGUUAAGCAAUGAGGACAAAGAUCUGGAUCCAUUGCUCUGCUGUGACUUGGCCUCUAAAUCAGCAAAAAACUUCUUAAAUUAUUUGUGUUGUGUGACACCUUGAGAUCCUAUGAUAAAGGGUGGGAUUGGAGAGUUUUAAUUAUCUCUUGGGUGCACAUAGAUAUAUGCAUACCGUAUAUACUCAUAUAUAAGUUGUCCUCGUGUAUAAGUCGAAGGCUUGUUUGGAUGCAGAAAUUAAGGAUCCGAGGCUUAUUUUUCAACUAUUUCUUUUUACAUUUACAUGAGUAUAUAGGAUGCAUAUGUUCAAGAGGAUGAUUUCCUGGAAGCAACAGGCCAUUUCUAUAAUCUGCAGUUUAUAUUCUUUGGAUGUGUUUUGAUGUCCAGUGGUGGCCAGCAUCUGAAAAUAGUGCCUUGUUGUCAUUUUCCAACCAUGAAUUGAGCUCAGAAUGGGACAUUUAAAGAGGGUAGAAAUGCAGGAUAAAUUUACACUGUAGAAUUAAUGCAGUUUGACACCACGUUAACUUCAAUGGCACAAUGCUAUGGAAUCAUUGGAACUGUAAUUUGACAAAGUCUUUAGUCUUCUCUGCCAAAGAGUGCCGGUGCCUUAGCACUGAGUCAUGGCAGUUAAACCGGUGUCAAACUACAUUAAUUUUAUAGUGUAGCUGUAACCACUGUGGCCACUAAUUGACUGGAUCUGAAAACAAGCUCUACAGACUGUCCUCACCAAAAGCCACGAAUCCCUUCGCAAUAAAUAGCCCACAGACACACAUACUUUUCAACACUCCCAGUUGGGCUAUCCUAAGAAAUCUCUGUCAACCUACUUUUUCAGCUUCUUUUGAAAAUGACCUAGAUCUCCCUCCUCUUCCCACUUCCCUCUUUGUCCUCAGCUUUCAUCUAUUGCCGCCUACUGAACUCGUCACUUCAUCACAUAACUUAAAUUCCACUGAGUUCUACACUUAAAAUCUGGUAUUCUGUGGGUUCACUGCAUUCAUUUUGGUUAAAGUACAGUUUUUGAGUCUUUUAAACAUGGAGGGUAGCAUUUUUUUUCCAACGUAUCAGGAAGAGGUGAGGAAAUUGAUUUUUCUCAAAACUCCGGAUGUUUUGCCGAAUUUUGAAUGAAGUAGCCCUCAUUGCUCUCGAGUUAGAAUCACCCAAUUUGUGUGUGUGGGGAGUCAAAAUAAACUUUUUGGGGCAGUUUUCCAGCAUUUCCUUUUGCUCCCCAAGCAGGAAGGUUUGGUUGUAAGCUACCUCAUAAUGCUUCUACUUUGCAAAAAAAAUAAAAUAGCUUUUUAAGGAA